rnacentral:rRNA from 1 species
UACGAAGGGGGCUAGCGUUGCUCGGAAUCACUGGGCGUAAAGCGCACGUAGGCGGAUCUUUAAGUCAGGGGUGAAAUCCUGGAGCUCAACUCCAGAACUGCCUUUGAUACUGAGGAUCUUGAGUCCGGGGGAGGUGAGUGGAACUGCGAGUGUAGAGGUGAAAUUCGUAGAUAUUCGCAAGAACACCAGUGGCGAAGGCGGCUCACUGGCCCGGUACUGACGCUGAGGUGCGAAAGCGUGGGGAGCAAACAGG